GGCCUGCUGGCCCAAUGGCAAGGCGUUUGACUACGAAUCAAAAGAUUGCAGGUUCGAUCCCUGCGUAGGUCA